rnacentral:rRNA from 1 species
AUGGAAUACAAAGUUUGUACACGAAGUGACCUCGAGAAGAUGUUAGUUGAUGAAACAGCGGAGCCCAGGGACCUGCCAUUAUCACUCCUGAAGGACAUCACUAACGAUUUCUCCGAUGACCUGAAGAUUGGAAGCGGUCGAUUUUCUGUGGUUUAUAAGGGAAUACUUGGCGACAAGUCGGUUGCAGUGAAGAAGUUGUCCAACGCUUAUAUGCAUGAAAGGGAGUUUCACCAAGAGGUUGAAUGCCUGAUGCGGGUAAAACACAAGAAUAUAGUAAGAUUUCUGGGAUAUUGUGCUGAUACACAAGGAACUAUGGCAAGUUACAACGGAAAACUUGUCAUGGAAGAAGUUCAUCAAAGUUUGCUUUGCUUCGAGUAUAUACCUAAUGGGAGUCUUGAUAAAUAUAUCACCGAUGCAUAUCGUGAGUGGCGAACAUGCUACAAAAUAAUUAAAGGGAUUUCUGAGGGCCUGCAGUUCCUUCAUGAGAAUCAUAUCAUUCGCUUGGAUCUGAAACCUGCCAAUAUACUGCUCGACGAUAGCAUGGUACCGAAAAUCACUGAUUUUCGCCUGUCUAGAUGCUUUCACGAAAAUCAAAGACAGGAUAUUACCAAAACUACAUUAGGAACAAUGGGAUAUUUGGCACCAGAACUUUUGGAAGGGGAUGCAAUCACAUGUAGUGCUGACUUGUAUAGUCUUGGUGCCAUUAUCACAGAAAUACUGACCGGGCAGAAGGGGUAUCAAGCUACUGAGGAAGUACUUGAAAGUUGGAGUGAUAGGAUGGAGAGAUCACAACGAGACACACUAUUGGAACAAAUACGAGUAUGCUAUGAGAUAGCUUUAGAGUGCAGAGACUUCAGUCCAAAGAAGAGACCAGCUAGUGGACGUGAUAUAGUUGACAGGGUUCGUGAAAUGGAGGGCAUCCAGGCGGAGAUGGGUUCUUCGCUGGCGGUCAUGAGCGCCAUGGAUGAUGCUCUGGUGAAUUCUUCGCUGGCCGACAUAGGCGCCAUGAAUGCCCCAGUGAGUUCUUCCCUUGGUGUCAUGGGCCCCCUUCUCAGGAAGCUAGAUUCGCUGCUGCUUCUCGGUUGCCGGCUGCGAGGGCCACUCAAGGACAGAGUCGUGCUCCUCAGGGAAGAUCUGGAAGAAAUCAGUGUCGCCCUUGUGGAGCAGUCAAUGGUAGAUUCCCCCAAUGAAAUGGCAAAAUACUGGAUGAAUGAGGUGCGUGAACUUUGCUAUGACAUCGAGGAUUUCAUUGACGACAUGAUGUUGACGCACGCCGAUGCCAAGAUGAGGUCGGUGCAGAGCUUCAAGGUUGGCCGUGUCAAGAUCCCUUGGCUUCCCAAGAAGGUGAGGCCGUGCACGAGGGCCGCCAAAUUCGCAGAACUCAGGGCCCCGGUGCGGGAGGCGAUUGAGCGACAUGGAAGGUAUCUUGAUGGUUUCACCUCGAGUUCUAGAUCUCUGUUCACUGUGUACGGCCAUAUUCCAUUGAUGUACGCAGAGGCUGCAAACUACCUUGUUGGUGUCAAUGACGCUAACACAAAGCUUGUCAAGUGGCUCACCAAUGAAAAGGAGCAGCAGCUGAAAAUGGUGGCCAUAACUGGACAUUCAGGGGUUGGUAAGACCGCACUUGCAAAACAGCUGUACCGUGAAGUUGAGGAGCAAUUUGACUGCCGGGCUUUCGUGCGAGCAUCCCGGAAGCCUGACAUGAGAAGGCUGCUUGGGGGCAUCCUCUCUCAAGUUCAGCAGCAUCAAUGCCCCACUAAUUCAUACACAGUGCAAAACCUCAUUGACAAACUCACCGAACAUCUCCAGAAUAAGAGAUAUGUUAUUGUAAUUGAUGAUUUGUGGGAAACAACAUCAUGGGAUAUUGUUGCCAGUGCUUUCCCGGAAGGUAAUAACUGCAGUAGAAUAAUAACAACCACAGAAAUUGAGGGAGUAGCUUUGGAAUGCUGUGAUUAUCAAUCUGAUAAUAUUCUGAAGAUGAAACCUCUUGGCGGGGAAGACUCUGGGAAACUGUUACUCAACCUGGUUUUUGGUCCUGAACGUCUGUGCCCUGAACAAUUAAAGGGGGCUUCGGACAUAAUCAUAGCAAAAUGUGCUGGUUUGCCACUAGCAACCAUUUGUGUAUCCGGUCUUUUAGCAACCCAACCAGACAACCCUAAGCUAUGGCUGCAUGUGCAGGAAUUUUUGUGUUCUAAUUUGAGUACAAAUUCUACUUUGGAAGAGACACUGCAUGAAACACUAAAGCUUAGUUACAAUAGUCUUCCUCACUAUUUGAAGACAUGUUUGAUGUACCUUUGUUUGUAUCCGGAAGGCUGCACAAUAUGGAAGUUUGAUUUGAUUAAGCAGUGGAUAGCAGAAGAUUUCAUCUGUGCGAUAGAAGGAACAGACACAGCGGAAGUUGCAGAUAGCUAUUUUGAAGAGCUUGUCAACAGGGGAAUGAUCCAACCUGUGGAUAUCAACUACAGUGGUGAGGUAUUGUCCUGUACACUGCACCACGUUGUGCUUGAUCUUAUUACACUUGAGUCCACCGAAGAGAGAUUUAUCACUGCAUUAGAUUACUCACAGACCAUCAGAGGACAUUAUAGCAAGGUUCGUCGGCUAUCGCUCCACUUCAGCAAUCCCAGAUAUGCAAAGAAACCAACUGGUCUAACACUGUCAAAAGUUCGAUCAAUUGGCUUUUUUGGAAUCCUCAAGUGUGCGCCUACAAUUGUGGGAUUUAAGCAUCUCCGAGUUCUAAUCCUGGAGUUUUGGGGUGAUCAAUGGGGGAUCAUGAGUUUUGACCUCACAAGAAUUUGUAGAUUUUUUCAGCUGAGAUAUUUGAAGAUUUCAUGUGAUGCCAGUGUAGAGGUAGAACUACCAACCCAAAUGCGAAUGCUGCGGUACUUGGAAACACUAAUAAUUGAUGCAGCAGUGUCUGCAGUUCCAUCAGAUAUUAUUCAUCUCCCAGGCUUGUUGCAUCUCUCUCUUGGAGAUAAGACAGAUCUACCUGAUGAGGUUGGUCGCAUCAGAUCUUUGCGUGUGCUACAUUGUUUUAACCUUAGCAGUAACUCUGAAGACAAUGUACUGAGCCUUGGUGAUCUGUUGAACCUGCAAGAUCUUAACCUCACUUACUGUACAGAAGAGUCAGAUGACCAUCUGAAGAGAAACCUGGCAGCUCUAGCCUCUUCUCUUGGGAAACUUGUGAAUCUCAAAUCUAUCACUCUGGCUCCUGGUGCCUCAGGAACAGCAAUCUACCAUGAUGUGUGGAGCAGCGUGUCCUCUCUUCCUUUCUUUCUUCAGAGACUUGAGUUGUUGCCCCCCAUUUGCAUCUUCUCCAGGCUUCCGCAGUGCCUUGGGCAACUCCGCAAACUCUGUAUUCUGACAGUUGUUGUUAGUGAGCUGCUGAUGGAAGAUAUGGAUAUACUGACAGGAUUGCCCGCCCUCACUGUUUUCUCACUCUAUGUCCGGCAACCAACGUUAGAAAGUAUCAUCUUCAAAAAAAGGGCAUUCCUAGGGCUCAAGUGUUUCAAAUACACAUGUGGUGUACUGUCCCUCACCUUUCAGGAAGAAGCAUUUCCCAAUCUUCAGAGGCUCGAGCUAAGUUUCAAUGCUCACAGAGGAGAACAGUAUUAUGAUUUUCUUUCGGGCAUUGGUUACCUGUUAAAUCUCAAGGAAAUUGCUGGAACGAUUGGGGCAGCCAAAGAUGCUGAGGAAUCUGACAGGAGGGUUGCAGAGUCUGCUUUCACAGACGCCAUUCGCAAGCAUCCAAGGUUUCCUAGUUACAACCACGUAAAAAGAGUAGACUGGGUUCAUGAAGAAUACCAGCUUAGAACCCAAGCGAAAGACUCAUCAAGAGAAAAAUAUGAAACACUGGAAAAACAGCAUGGAAGAAAAGAGGGAGACUCGUUACAUGAACAGACUAGAAUUUUACUGAAAGAAACCGGGGAAGAAACAAAGCAAUGCACCAAUAGCUGGAGUUCUUACUUUCCCGCCACUGAAUCAAUUAUCUUCGAUCAAAUGAAGUCAGGUAUUCCUAUACAUUUCCCGUUCCGGUCUGAAAGCUAUUUUCUCCUAGAAAAGCAUAUUCAUUUGUAA